rnacentral:rRNA from 1 species
UGACCAAAUCACGUGCCAGCAGUUGCGGUAAUACGGGGAAGAUAAGUGUUAUUCAUGUUUAACAGGUUUAAAGGGUACCUAGACGGUUAAUUUAACCCUUAAAUGUAUUAAUUAACUAGAGUUUGAUAUAGGAAGGAUUGAGUACGGUGAGUGAAGAGAUAAAAUUUUAUUAGACCCCUAAGGAACUGGUAAAGGGGAAGGCAACCUUGUAUGUAAAAACUGACGUUAAGGGAAGAAGGCUCAUGUUAAAAAAUAGGAUUAGAGACCCUAGUAUUUUGGGCAGACAAUGAUGAGUGUCAUUUGCAAGAGAAAAAAAAAAUAAAAUUUUGUGUAUAAAUGAAAGUGUAAGCACUCCACCUCAAGAGUAACGUGGCAACACGGGAACUGAAAUCAUUAGACCGUUUCUGAAACUCGUAGUGAAGUAUGUUGUUUAAUUUGAUAAUCCACAAAUAACCUUACCACAAUUUGUAUAACAUCGGCUUUGAGAUGUAACAAGUGUUGCACGGCUGUCUUCAGUCAAUGUUGUGAAACUGUGGUUAGAUCCAUGGAAUUGACGUAAACCCUUGCUUUAUUUAUUAUAGAGUAGUUCGCCGCUAUAUUGGUAGUGAUAUAUGGACUAAGACAAGUCAUCAUGACCUNUUUC